GACGGAGGAUGCAAGCGUUAUCCGGAAUGAUUUGGGCGUAAAGCGUCCGCAGGUGGCAGUUCAAGUCUGCUGUCAAAGACCGGGGCUUAACUUCGGAAAGGCAGUGGAAACUGAACAGCUAGAGUAUGGUAGGGGCAGAGGGAAUUUCCUGGUGUAGCGGUGAAAUGCGUAGAGAUCAGGAAGAACAUCGGUGGCGAAGGCGCUCUGCUGGACCAUAACUGACACUCAGGGACGAAAGCUAGGGGAGCAAACGGG
rnacentral:rRNA from 1 species